AUUGAACGCUGGCGGCAUGCUUUACACAUGCAAGUCGAACGGCAGCACGAGUGCUUGCACUUGGUGGCGAGUGGCGAACGGGUGAGUAAUACAUCGGAACGUGUCCUAAAGUGGGGGAUAACGCAUCGAAAGAUGUGCUAAUACCGCAUAAUCUCUAAGGAGAAAAGUAGGGGAUCGAAAGACCUUAUGCUUUUGGAGCGGCCGAUGUCUGAUUAGCUAGUUGGUGGGGUAAUGGCCUACCAAGGCGACGAUCAGUAGCUGGU
rnacentral:rRNA from 1 species